rnacentral:rRNA from 1 species
GUGGGGAAUAUUCCGCAAUGGACGAAAGUCUGACGGGGCAACGCCGCGUGAGUGAUGAAGGUUUUCGGACUGUAAAGCUCUGUUGUUUAGGACGAAAGUGCCUGUUGCAAAUAGUUACAGGUAUUGACGGUACUGAACGAGGAAGCCACGGCUAACUACGUGCCAGCAGCCGCGGUAAUACGUAGGUGGCAAGCGUUGUCCGGAAUUAUUGGGCGUAAAGAGCAUGUAGGCGGGAAUCUAAGUCUGUUGUGAAAAUGCGGGGCUCAACCCCGUAUUGCGAUGGAAACUGGGUUUCUUGAGUGCAGGAGAGGAAAGGGGAAUUCCCAGUGUAGCGGUGAAAUGCGUAGAUAUUGGGAGGAACACCAGUGGCGAAGGCGCCUUUCUGGACUGUGUCUGACGCUGAGAUGCGAAAGCCAGGGUAGCGAACGGGAUUAGAUACCCUAGUAGUCC